rnacentral:rRNA from 1 species
GACGAACGCUGGCGGCGUGCUUAACACAUGCAAGUCGAACGGAAAGGCCCUGCUUUUGUGGGGUGCUCGAGUGGCGAACGGGUGAGUAACACGUGAGUAACCUGCCCUUUACUUUGGGAUAACUUCAGGAAACUGGGGCUAAUACCGGAUAGGAGCUCCUGCUGCAUGGUGUGUGUUGGAAAGUUUCGGCGGUUGGGGAUGGACUCGCGGCUUAUUAGCUUGUUGGUGGGGUAGUGGAUUACCAAGGCUUUGACGGGUAGCCGGCCUGAGAGGGUGACCGGCCACAGUGGGACUGAGAUAGGGCCCAGACUCCUACGGGAGGCAGCAGUGGGGAAUAUUGCAAAAUGGGCGGAAGCCUGAUGCAGCAACGCCGCGUGCGGGAUGACGGCCUUCGGGUUGUAAACCGCUUUCGCCUGGAAAGAAGCGUGAGUGACGGUAAUGGGUAAAGAAGCACCGGCUAACUACGUG